rnacentral:rRNA from 1 species
GACGAACGCUGGCGGCGUGCUUAACACAUGCAAGUCGAACGGAAAGGCCCUGCUUUUGUGGGGUGCUCGAGUGGCGAACGGGUGAGUAACACGUGAGUAACCUGCCCUUGACUUUGGGAUAACUUCAGGAAACUGGGGCUAAUACCGGAUAGGAGCUCCUGCUGCAUGGUGGGGGUUGGACAGUUUCGGCGGUUGGGGAUGGACUCGCGGCUUGUCAGCUUGUUGGUGGGGUAGUGGCUUACCAAGGCUUUGACGGGUAGCCGGCCUGAGAGGGUGACCGGCCACAUUGGGACUGAGAUACGGCCCAGACUCCUACGGGAGGCAGCAGUGGGGAAUAGUGCACAAUGGGCGGAAGCCUGAUGCAGCAACGCCGCGUGCGGGAUGACGGCCUUCGGGUUGUAAACCGCUUUCGCCUGUGACGAAGCGUGAGUGACGGUAAUGGGUAAAGAAGCACCGGCUAACUACGUG